UCAUUGCUGGAACGCGCUUCGGCGCACCCAGAAACCCUUUGUGAACUUAUACCUACUGUUGCCUCGGCGCAGGCCGGCCUCUUCACUGAGGCCCCCUGGAGACAGGGAGCAGCCCGCCGGCGGCCAACUAAACUCUUGUUUCUUUAGUGAAUCUCUGAGUAAAAAACAUAAAUGAAUCAAAACUUUCAACAACGGAUCUCUUGGUUCUGGCAUCGAUGAAGAACGCAGCGAAAUGCGAUAAGUAAUGUGAAUUGCAGAAUUCAGUGAAUCAUCGAAUCUUUGAACGCACAUUGCGCCCUCUGGUAUUCCGGAGGGCAUGCCUGUUCGAGCGUCAUUUCAACCCUCAAGCCUGGCUUGGUGAUGGGGCACUGCCUGUAAAAGGGCAGGCCCUGAAAUCUAGUGGCGAGCUCGCCAGGACCCCGAGCGUAGUAGUUAUAUCUCGCUCUGGAAGGCCCUGGCGGUGCCCUGCCGUUAAACCCCCAACUUCUGAAAAUUUGACCUCGGAUCAGGUAGGAAUAC
rnacentral:rRNA from 1 species